AUAUUUUUAUUCCAAUCCUUAUUUGUGUUCAUGUGUUUACAGGCCCAGCGAUUCUGACGGUCUCAUCACCGUAAUUGAGCCUGCCUCCUUCCAACGCAGCCAGGUUCUACUCAUGCAGAAGAGCGGCUCUGUGGUCCUUCUGGAUGUGCUGCGUCGAGAAGCUGUGUGUUCCCUCGUGCUGCCACACACACACACGCUGGCUUCACCCUGGGAUCCCGUUUUUGUCUUCAUCUCAGUUCUACACAAGCUCUGCAUACGAGGAGAUAAAAAGACGUCUUAUCUUCUCCCGGGAAGGGAGAAGGACAGUUCUGUGUUUAUCUUCGAAUUGCCAGAGACUUCUGUGAAGGAAACAUUAACAGACAGAAAUGAAGAGACACAAGCAAAGACCCCAUGCUCCAGUUUGGAGAGGAACUGUGAUCGGGACAUCCAGGCAAGGCUGCCAUCCUCUGAGGACAGUGUGAGGCAAAGGACACAUUGCUGAGGUGGUGCAGCCAACCCAGAGAGUUAAAGACUAACAGAACACACAAUCCCCCAGGUGACAUUGUUCAAACGCAUAGAUCCAGUGAGAUUACCGCAAACACAUACACACUCACCCUGUGAGAUGGACGUGGAGUCUAGGUCAUUGCCAUGCUGUCCAGUGAAGACUUAAAAGACUCACAUGAAUUUUUAUGCACACACACACGCGCUCAUACACACGCUCACACACACACACACACACACACACACGCUCACAAACACAAAACACGUGCACGGAAAAGAAGUACCAAUGAUGAAAAGGACCCUGUUGAAUAUUUGUGAUGUUGCAACAAAAUUCAUUCCAAGUCAAUUUCACAGACACUUGAUCAUGCACAGCACGACAUGAGUACAUGGCUCUGACUUUGUACCUUGUCUGAUGGCUAAUGAACAAAAAACUGCAGAAUACAUUUAGUGCGAUGAGAAAAGGCCUCGGUCUGACUCCCCUUGCCACAAUCACAUCCGCUCUGCCUCUUGCUAAUCAGCUUUGUGGCUGCAGUUCCAGGUGAAUCUAAUCUGCACACCAUUUUAUCUGAACUGACAAUUGUCAUUUAGAGCUUGGCGGCUGAUGGCCGUAAUGUUUUGUAAUGGCUCUGAAAGCACAGUGUGUAGCUGAGACGGGCGCACGUGAGCUGGAGAUGUUUAUCGAAGCGCUCUCAGACGGAUAAGUCUUAUCUGAGAGUCACAGAGCGUUCAAGCAGCGCGGCCCGGACCCCGAGUAGCAG
ensembl:lncRNA